GACGAACGCUGGCGGCGUGCUUAACACAUGCAAGUCGAGCGGUAAGGCCCUUUCGGGGGUACGACGAGCGGCGAACGGGUGAGUAACACGUGGGUGACCUGCCCUUAGCUCUGGGAUAAGCCUGGGAAACUGGGUCUAAUACCGGAUAUGACCUCAUGACGCAUGUUGUGGGGUGGAAAGCCUUGUGCGGCUAGGGGAUGGGGCCCGCGGCCUAUCAGCUUGUUGGUGGGGUGAUGGCCACCAAGGCGACGACGGGUAGCCGGCCUGAGAGGGCGACCGGCCACACUGGGACUGAGACACGGCCCAGACUCCUACGGGAGGCAGCAGUGGGGAAUCUUGCGCAAUGGGCGAAAGCCUGACGCAGCGACGCCGCGUGAGGGAUGACGGCCU
rnacentral:rRNA from 1 species